rnacentral:rRNA from 1 species
GGUCAAGUGAAGAAGCGCAUACGGUGGAUGCCUUGGCAGUCAGAGGCGAUGAAAGACGUGGUAGCCUGCGAAAAGCUUCGGGGAGUCGGCAAACAGACUGUGAUCCGGAGAUGUCUGAAUGGGGGAACCCAGCCAUCAUAAGAUGGUUAUCACACACUGAAUACAUAGGUGUGUGAGGCGAACCAGGGGAACUGAAACAUCUAAGUACCCUGAGGAAAAGAAAUCAACCGAGAUUCCCUUAGUAGUGGCGAGCGAACGGGACUAGCCCUUAAGUUGAUUUGAGAUUAGCGGAACGCUCUGGAAAGUGCGGCCAUAGUGGGUGAUAGCCCUGUACGCGAAAAUCUCUUAUCAAUGAAAUCGAGUAGGACGGAGCACGAGAAACUUUGUCUGAAUAUGGGGGACCAUCCUCCAAGGCUAAAUACUACUGACUGACCGAUAGUGAACCAGUACCGUGAGGGAAAGGCGAAAAGAACCCCGGAGAGGGGAGUGAAAUAGAACCUGAAACCGUAUGCGUACAAGCAGUGGGAGCCUACUUUGUUAGGUGACUGCGUACCUUUUGUAUAAUGGGUCAGCGACUUAUUUUCAGUGGCGAGCUUAACCGAAUAGGGGAGGCGUAGCGAAAGCGAGUCUUAAUAGGGCGUCUAGUCGCUGGGAAUAGACCCGAAACCGGGCGAUCUAUCCAUGGGCAGGUUGAAGGUUAGGUAACACUGACUGGAGGACCGAACCGACUACCGUUGAAAAGUUAGCGGAUGACCUGUGGAUCGGAGUGAAAGGCUAAUCAAGCUCGGAGAUAGCUGGUUCUCCUCGAAAGCUAUUUAGGUAGCGCCUCGUGUAUCACUGCUGGGGGUAGAGCACUGUUUCGGCUAGGGGGUCAUCCCGACUUACCAAACCGAUGCAAACUCCGAAUACCAGCAAGUGUCAGCACGGGAGACACACGGCGGGUGCUAACGUCCGUCGUGAAAAGGGAAACAACCCAGACCGUCAGCUAAGGUCCCAAAAUCCUGGUUAAGUGGGAAACGAUGUGGGAAGGCUUAGACAGCUAGGAGGUUGGCUUAGAAGCAGCCAUCCUUUAAAGAAAGCGUAAUAGCUCACUAGUCGAGUCGGCCUGCGCGGAAGAUGUAACGGGGCUCAAACCAGGUACCGAAGCUACGGGUUCAACGCAAGUUGAGCGGUAGAGGAGCGUUCUGUAAGCCUGUGAAGGUCAGUUGAGAAGCUGGCUGGAGGUAUCAGAAGUGCGAAUGCUGACAUGAGUAACGACAAUGCGAGUGAAAAACUCGCACGCCGAAAGACCAAGGGUUCCUGCGCAACGUUAAUCGACGCAGGGUGAGUCGGUCCCUAAGGCGAGGCUGAAGAGCGUAGUCGAUGGGAAACGGGUUAAUAUUCCCGUACUUCUAGUUACUGCGAUGGGGGGACGGAGAAGGCUAGGCCAGCAAGGCGUUGGUUGUCCUUGUUUAAGGUGGUAGGCAGAGAUCUUAGGUAAAUCCGGGGCUUAAUGCCGAGAGCUGAUGACGAGCUUUCUUUUAGAAAGCGAAGUGGUUGAUGCCAUGCUUCCAGGAAAAGCCUCUAAGCUUCAGGUAACUAGGAACCGUACCCCAAACCGACACAGGUGGUUGGGUAGAGAAUACCAAGGCGCUUGAGAGAACUCGGGUGAAGGAACUAGGCAAAAUGGCACCGUAACUUCGGGAGAAGGUGCGCCGGUGAGGGUGAAGUAUUUACUACGUAAGCCCAUGCCGGUCGAAGAUACCAGGCCGCUGCGACUGUUUAUUAAAAACACAGCACUCUGCAAACACGAAAGUGGACGUAUAGGGUGUGACGCCUGCCCGGUGCCGGAAGGUUAAUUGAUGGGGUUAGCGCAAGCGAAGCUCUUGAUCGAAGCCCCGGUAAACGGCGGCCGUAACUAUAACGGUCCUAAGGUAGCGAAAUUCCUUGUCGGGUAAGUUCCGACCUGCACGAAUGGCGUAACGAUGGCGGCGCUGUCUCCACCCGAGACUCAGUGAAAUUGAAAUCGCUGUGAAGAUGCAGUGUAUCCGCGGCUAGACGGAAAGACCCCGUGAACCUUUACUAUAGCUUUGCACUGGACUUUGAAUUUGCUUGUGUAGGAUAGGUGGGAGGCUUUGAAGCGUGGACGCCAGUUCGCGUGGAGCCAUCCUUGAAAUACCACCCUGGCAACUUUGAGGUUCUAACUCUGGUCCGUUAUCCGGAUCGAGGACAGUGUAUGGUGGGUAGUUUGACUGGGCGGUCUCCUCCUAAAGAGUAACGGAGGAGUACGAAGGUGCGCUCAGACCGGUCGGAAAUCGGUCGUAGAGUAUAAAGGCAAAAGCGCGCUUGACUGCGAGACAGACACGUCGAGCAGGUACGAAAGUAGGUCUUAGUGAUCCGGUGGUUCUGUAUGGAAGGGCCAUCGCUCAACGGAUAAAAGGUACUCCGGGGAUAACAGGCUGAUACCGCCCAAGAGUUCAUAUCGACGGCGGUGUUUGGCACCUCGAUGUCGGCUCAUCACAUCCUGGGGCUGAAGCCGGUCCCAAGGGUAUGGCUGUUCGCCAUUUAAAGUGGUACGCGAGCUGGGUUUAGAACGUCGUGAGACAGUUCGGUCCCUAUCUGCCGUGGACGUUUGAGAUUUGAGAGGGGCUGCUCCUAGUACGAGAGGACCGGAGUGGACGAACCUCUGGUGUUCCGGUUGUCACGCCAGUGGCAUUGCCGGGUAGCUACGUUCGGAAGAGAUAACCGCUGAAAGCAUCUAAGCGGGAAACUUGCCUCAAGAUGAGAUCUCACUGGAGCCUUGAGCUCCCUGAAGGGCCGUCGAAGACUACGACGUUGAUAGGUGGGGUGUGUAAGCGCUGUGAGGCGUUGAGCUAACCCAUACUAAUUGCCCGUGAGGCUUGACCAU